UACGUAGGGGGCAAGCGUUGUCCGGAAUUACUGGGCGUAAAGGGCGCGUAGGCGGGAUGGUAAGUCGGUCGUGAAAUCCCUCGGCUCAACCGAGGAACGUCGAUCGAUACUACCGUUCUUGAGGAUUGCAGAGGAGACUGGAAUUCCCGGUGUAGCGGUGAAAUGUGUAGAGAUCGGGAGGAACACCGGUGGCGAAGGCGGGUCUCUGGGCAAUUCCUGACGCUGAGGCGCGAAAGCGUGGGGAGCAAACGGG
rnacentral:rRNA from 1 species